GGGGUCGGGGUCGGUGGUGGGGGCAGGGAUAGAAAAGGAAUCUAGAGUGACGAUCCCGUCCCGCUCUGUUGUGGUGCUAUAAAUGGGGUGUUGUGAUGAACCAAAAAAGUGGGAAGUCGUGGGAGUUUUUUGGCAGUCAUUUUGGGAGAUUUUUGUGGCGUUAAAAGAGGAGGCGGUUCAAGUGUUAGCAACACAAAAAGAACAGAUCUAGAUCGAUAUUUUUUGAGUAAUUUGUUAUCGAUUAUUUUGUGAGUUUGGAGAUAUUUUUAGGGGGAGUUUAUUGUAAUGCAAUUCGACAAUAUUACUGAAUUACCCACAUCUGAGUGAAAGAUUGGACGUAGCCCUUAAUUGGUGAACUAAUAUAAUUUUAUUGUGUCGUUUCUUGUGUUUUAUAGUUUCGUUUCUUCCUUAUUUGCAUAUUGUGGUGUGUGUUUGGAUAUUCUUGUAGGAGGGGAAAUUAUUCAAGAUCAUUGAUUUCCCAAUGGAAUUAAUAUAAGAGAGUCAGCUUUAACUUAUUAGUAGGAACUUCAUGUUGGAUCAAUGGAGUUAAAAUAGGAGAGUCGAAGCUGCAAGGCCUAAUGCCUAGACGUUGCGCUAUGAACCCAAAAGAGCGGCUGUAGUAGGCAAGCUGCCAAGAAGGCAGAGCUCAGGUGUUGGCCACUGUCCCGCAGCACUGUGGUGCUACGAUUAUGGAUCCACCCAGUAAAUGAGUGAUUUGGAGCUUGUAUUUAGUUGUAUAUAAUUCAAAGAAAAGAGACUUCAGUGUUUAUGGGCAGUGUAUGAAAAAAGUCUAUAUUCGUAGAUUUAUUGAGGGUGUUUUCAACUGUGUAAUCCUAGGUAGUCAUUAAUAGUGUACUUAGAAGCAAGAAUGGUAGUUAUAUAAUGAUAUCUUGAACAAGAUCUCCAUUGUAAUAUUCUCAACUAUAGUAGAAUUUACUUUUGUAGAAGACUAGACGUAGUCUCAAGACUGGAGCGAACCAAUAUAAUCCUUCUAGUGUUAAGUUUUUCUA